rnacentral:misc_RNA from 1 species
CAAAGGCCUGAUUGCCGGACACUCGGUGAAAUAUGCCAGUUCCCCGCCAAUAACCGGUAUCGCGCUGUCCUCUCUUCACAUUUGCGCUGUCUUCGCUACGUUCACGGCAGAUCGGCGUGGAGUGGAAGGAGGACAACGCGGCGCACACAUCACGUGGAGAAAGAGAAGGAGAAAGAGAAUCAGAAAGACAGAGUUGAAAAAGGCGAACGAGAAAUUGCUAGUGGAAGUAAACCGAGAUACGAGACAAUACUAUGCCCGAGACAGAUGCCACUGCGCGAAGCUUUUCUUUCGCGAUAGUAUACAGUACAUUGGAUCGUUACGUGGAUAAUUCCACAAAAUUAAGAGACACAAGAGGCAGAGGAUGGUCAGGGAACAAGGAGGGAUUUAAACGGCACUC